GUUAGUCUCACUGUGUUUCUGGUUCUCCUCAGAGAAGGAACGCCACGAUGUCCUACUCUGUUGAACAUGUGCCAUAUUUUGGGAAUCUGACUGAUAGUUGUCUCUCUGUCUCCUUUGUAGGAAAACUACCCGUGCAUUUUGGAUCGAGAUGCAUUAGUGUCCUGUGUCCCCGAGCAUUUCCGACGCGCACUCUCCCUCUGCCUUUGACGUGGUGCAGCCAGGCCCACGCACUUCGUGUGAGGCAACAGGCAACAAUCAAGUGGCCGACCUGAGUGAUUGCGACUCAGCAGAGGAGACGGAUGAUCUGCAGGCACUCCGGAGACAAAAAAUUAAACUGGAAAUUAUAGUGCUGCAGCUACAAAGAGGAGUACUACAGCAUGGCUUUAAAAAAAAGAAAAGAUGAAUUGAUAAUAAGCCACUGUAUCAAUGAUUUAUUGUUCUUACCCAAAGUGGAGGUUGGCGAAGUGUUGUCUGAAAGCUUCCCCAUCCCAUGGAUGGAUGUUGCCAGGGACGCUCGCGUCUCCAUCUCCUCCCUCAUCGUCAUCAUCGUCUGCUGGUGGGAGUGGGGCAUUGCGCUCCUUAGAAAUGUUGUGCAGUAUUGCACAUGCCAUAAUGAUUUGGCACAUUCUGUCUGGAGUGGGCCGUAUUUCUGAAUUCAGCACAUGAAAUCUGCGUUUUUACCAUGAAUUGAUUAACGUGGAC